CACCCAAAGACCAGAUUGAGGUGAGUAAGAAUUUAAUGGUUGAAUUUUGCAGGUAAACAUGAACUUCAUGUGAUUUUGUUCUUGUAACAGGAGUCAGAAACCAAUACCAAAUCACCAACUGUCACCGCUUCGAACCAACACAAAAGUGAUGCAAAGACAUUGGACAUAAUACCGAAUGACCAAUUUAUGGAGAGUUCUGAUGCAUCCUCUGUGCUUACAGUAGACACUCUGGCUAAGGUCCAAGAAUUGUGGGACAAAAAGCCAACUGAAACAGUUGUAUCCAUACUGGACAAAAAUGGAAGGUGUUUUUUAAGGUUGCCAGAUUUUCAGAGUCUCAAGCCCUACGUUUGGCUUACUGGAGAGGUACAGAAUUUGCUAUCUAUUCACGUUUAUAUGCUACAUUUCUCGUUAUUAACUAUUUUGUGUUUC